CCUACGGGAGGCAGCAGUGAGGAAUAUUGGACAAUGGGCGCAAGCCUGAUCCAGCCAUGCCGCGUGCAGGAUGACGGUCCUAUGGAUUGUAAACUGCUUUUGUACAGGAAGAAACCCUUUCACGUGUGAGAGAUUGACGGUACUGUAAGAAUAAGGAUCGGCUAACUCCGUGCCAGCAGCCGCGGUAAUACGGAGGAUCCAAGCGUUAUCCGGAAUCAUUGGGUUUAAAGGGUCCGUAGGCGGCCAGAUAAGUCAGUGGUGAAAGCCCAUCGCUCAACGGUGGAACGGCCAUUGAUACUGUCUGGCUUGAAUUACAAGGAAGUAACUAGAAUAUGUAGUGUAGCGGUGAAAUGCUUAGAGAUUACAUGGAAUACCAAUUGCGAAGGCAGGUUACUACUUGUGGAUUGACGCUGAUGGACGAAAUGCGUGGGUAGCGAACAGGAUUAGAUACCCUGGUAGUCCACGCCGUAAACGAUGGAUACUAGCUGUUGGAGUAUCUCAGG
rnacentral:rRNA from 1 species